UUACAUUUUAUUUCAUAUCAUAUCACAAAUGGAUAAUCAAUUGAUUUCGAGAAAACGCGUAUAUGACGACUCAAUAGAGUUACAGAUCAAUUCCCCGGAGGUAAAAAGACUCCGGGAAGAUCUCUUAGACGAUUUAUACGAUUCGGAGUUUUGCACUCCGAAUCACGAUCUAGAUUCCUUCAUGAAGAGCUUCGAAAAUGAAAUUACAGCUUCAGAG
rnacentral:misc_RNA from 1 species